CGGGACACGUGGUAUCCUGUCUGAAUAUGGGGGGACCAUCCUCCAAGGCUAAAUACUCCUGACUGACCGAUAGUGAACCAGUACCGUGAGGGAAAGGCGAAAAGAACCCCGGCGAGGGGAGUGAAAAAGAACCUGAAACCGUGUACGUACAAGCAGUGGGAGCACAGAGCAAUCUGUGUGACUGCGUACCUUUUGUAUAAUGGGUCAGCGACUUAUAUUCUGUAGCAAGGUUAACCGAAUAGGGGAGCCGAAGGGAAACCGAGUCUUAACUGGGCGUUAAGUUGCAGGGUAUAGACCCGAAACCCGGUGAUCUAGCCAUGGGCAGGUUGAAGGUUGGGUAACACUAACUGGAGGACCGAACCGACUAAUGUUGAAAAAUUAGCGGAUGACUUGUGGCUGGGGGUGAAAGGCCAAUCAAACCGGGAGAUAGCUGGUUCUCCCCGAAAGCUAUUUAGGUAGCGCCUCGUGAAUUCAUCUCCGGGGGUAGAGCACUGUUUCGGCAAGGGGGUCAUCCCGACUUACCAACCCGAUGCAAACUGCGAAUACCGGAGAAUGUUAUCACGGGAGACACACGGCGGGUGCUAACGUCCGUCGUGAAGAGGGAAACAACCCAGACCGCCAGCUAAGGUCCCAAAGUCAUGGUUAAGUGGGAAACGAUGUGGGAAGGCCCAGACAGCCAGGAUGUUGGCUUAGAAGCAGCCAUCAUUUAAAGAAAGCGUAAUAGCUCACUGGUCGAGUCGGCCUGCGCGGAAGAUGUAACGGGGCUAAACCAUGCACCGAAGCUGCGGCAGCGACGCUUAUGCGUUGUUGGGUA
rnacentral:rRNA from 2 species